ensembl:snRNA U4 U4 spliceosomal RNA
AUCCUUUCGCAGUGGCAGUAUCGUAAUCUAUGAGGUUUAUCCGAGGUGUGAUUAUUGCUGGUUGAAAACUUUAACCCAGUGCCUGCCUUGAUGUCUUGAAAUAUAGUCAGCAAUGGCAAUUUUUGAUGGUCUCUAUAGAGA